rnacentral:rRNA from 1 species
UGGGGAAUCUUGGACAAUGGGCGCAAGCCUGAUCCAGCCAUGCCGCGUGGAUGAUGAAGGCCUUAGGGUUGUAAAAUCCUUUCGUUGGGGACGAUAAUGACGGUACCUGGAGAAUAAGCCCCGGCAAACUUCGUGCCAGCAGCCGCGGUAAUACGAAGGGGGCUAGCGUUGUUCGGAAUUACUGGGCGUAAAGCGCACGUAGGCGGAUUGUUAAGUCAGAGGUGAAAUCCCGGAGCUCAACUUCGGAACUGCCUUUGAUACUGGCAAUCUAGAGUCCGGAAGAGGUUAGUGGAAUUCCCAGUGUAGAGGUGAAAUUCGUAGAUAUUGGGAAGAACACCAGUGGCGAAGGCGGCUAACUGGUCCGGUACUGACGCUGAGGUGCGAAAGCGUGGGGAGCAAACAGGAUUAGAUACCCGGGUAGUCCCUGAGCGGGCUGGCAAGGCGCAU